UACGAAGGGGGCUAGCGUUGUUCGGAAUCACUGGGCGUAAAGGGCGCGUAGGCGGCUUUGUAAGUCGGGGGUGAAAGCCUGUGGCUCAACCACAGAAUUGCCUUCGAUACUGCAUGGCUUGAGACCGGAAGAGGUAAGUGGAACUGCGAGUGUAGAGGUGAAAUUCGUAGAUAUUCGCAAGAACACCGGUGGCGAAGGCGGCUUACUGGUCCGGUUCUGACGCUGAGGCGCGAAAGCGUGGGGAGCAAACAGG
rnacentral:rRNA from 1 species